UCUGAGGACAGGGCAGUUUGUGGGAUCAUAUA
rnacentral:rRNA from 1 species